CUUGGAGUGGUGACAACUGGUAGCAGAGCAAUGUCAUCUCCACUUGCCGGUUGUUCCUGGUAUGUCGAGGGAUACUGGUGCUGACAUUGCUCUGAUACCAAUUGUCGGCACUCUAGGC
rnacentral:pre_miRNA from 1 species